rnacentral:rRNA from 1 species
GACGAACGCUGGCGGCGUGCUUAACACAUGCAAGUCGAACGGAAAGGCCCUGCUUUUGUGGGGUGCUCGAGUGGCGAACGGGUGAGUAACACGUGAGUAACCUGCCCUUGACUUUGGGAUAACUUCAGGAAACUGGGGCUAAUACCGGAUAGGAGCUCCUGCUGCAUGGUGGGGGUUGGAAAGUUUCGGCGGUUGGGGAUGGACUCGCGGCUUAUCAGCUUGUUGGUGGGGUAGUGGCUUACCAAGGCUUUGACGGGUAGCCGGCCUGAGAGGGUGACCGGCCACAUUGGGACUGAGAUACGGCCCAGACUCCUACGGGAGGCAGCAGUGGGGAAUAUUGCACAAUGGGCGGAAGCCUGAUGCAGCAACGCCGCGUGCGGGAUGACGGCCUUCGGGUUGUAAACCGCUUUCGCCUGUGACGAAGCGUGAGUGACGGUAAUGGGUAAAGAAGCACCGGCUAACUACGUGCCAGCAGCCGCGGUGAUACGUAGGGUGCGAGCGUUGUCCGGAUUUAUUGGGCGUAAAGGGCUCGUAGGUGGUUGAUCGCGUCGGAAGUGUAAUCUUGGGGCUUAACCCUGAGCGUGCUUUCGAUACGGGUUGACUUGAGGAAGGUAGGGGAGAAUGGAAUUCCUGGUGGAGCGGUGGAAUGCGCAGAUAUCAGGAGGAACACCAGUGGCGAAGGCGGUUCUCUGGGCCUUUCCUGACGCUGAGGAGCGAAAGCGUGGGGAGCGAACAGGCUUAGAUACCCUGGUAGUCCACGCUGUAAACGGUGGGUACUAGGUGUGGGGUCCAUUCCACGGGUUCCGUGCCGUAGCUAACGCUUUAAGUACCCCGCCUGGGGAGUACGGCCGCAAGGCUAAAACUCAAAGGAAUUGACGGGGCCCCGCACAAGCGGCGGAGCAUGCGGAUUAAUUCGAUGCAACGCGUAGAACCUUACCUGGGUUUGAUAUGGAUCGGGAGUGCUCAGAGAUGGGUGUGCCUCUUUUGGGGUCGGUUCACAGGUGGUGCAUGGCUGUCGUCAGCUCGUGUCGUGAGAUGUUGGGUUAAGUCCCGCAACGAGCGCAACCCUUGUUCACUGUUGCCAGCACGUUAUGGUGGGGACUCAGUGGAGACCGCCGGGGUCAACUCGGAGGAAGGUGGGGAUGACGUCAAGUCAUCAUGCCCCUUAUGUCCAGGGCUUCACGCAUGCUACAAUGGCUGGUACAGAGAGUGGCGAGCCUGUGAGGGUGAGCGAAUCUCGGAAAGCCGGUCUCAGUUCGGAUUGGGGUCUGCAACUCGACCUCAUGAAGUCGGAGUCGCUAGUAAUCGCAGAUCAGCAACGCUGCGGUGAAUACGUUCCCGGG